UGGCAUCUCUUCCACUACCCAUGCCCUUUACCAUAUCUUCUGCUCGUUGCAAACCUACUGUGCGAAUAGCAUAUACUGCUGUUCUUUGAUCAACAUUGGGUGAUGCUUGGUAGUUACCCCUCUCUCAGCCUUGCAAAGUUUGGGUGUGUGAGUUUGUAACUUGGACACCUCAUAGAAUGUUGGUUCGAAUAUUCCAAAUUGAUCAUGUAUAUAUCCCUAGCAGAUCUAAGCUGUCACUACUCUUUUUUUGGUUGUCAGGAAAUGUAUUUUUUAUCUCAGCUUCUAAUGAUGAAAAGAAGUAGUCAAGAAUAAAAUUUGAUGUCCUUGGCACCUUACAAGAUGAUAAACAUCAACACUGAUGUUCUGAUAACUGUAAAAUAGGAAUGCAUGCAUCAAUGGGCAUGAAGGGCAUGGGUUGAAGACCAAAUAUUCUACAUUGUUCGGUCUAUUUAAAGUGCAGAGGCUUCGAAAUCAGCACGCAUGCCAGCUUUUCCUGUGAGUCCGAGUCCAUUAUCUUGCCCCGUGGCAAAGAAAUAUAUUUCAAGUUUCUUGGGUGCAUCUGUUAGCUGCUAAGGUGGAUUUAAUCAGGCAGCUUAUUGAUCUCAAGAACUCUUCAAUCUCAGAUGGUCAUCUCCCUAUCCAGCCGACAUAGAAAGAAAAACUCAAUGGUGAUCCCAACAUCUAGAGCCGCUUCUAAUCUAUGGAAGCUCAAUUCUAUUUUUUAACAAGAAUGUGAGUUUGGAUGCGGUCUUCAGAUGAAUCAAGCCUGAGAUCCACAGGUGUCGUGGGCUAAUUAGCUGUGAGUUCCCAAGAUGCAAAGUAUUUUGUACCCUCCAUCUGGAAAUACUUGUCGCAGAAAUGGACAAAAAUGGAUGUAUCUAGAAUUAUAAUAUGUCUAGAUACAACCAUUUCUCCUACAAUAAUUCCGGACGGAGGGAGUAUGUUUCAUGAAAGAAUAUUAACGAAACAACUAAUUUAUGAUAACUACUGUAUCAUUUGGAUCCUAUAAAUGGCAUGUAUAUCAUCUUCCUCUGGUUUCUAUCAAUAGGAAAGCUACACUUGAUAAUGCACUCCAUAUUGGCUUAACGAGUGAAUGCUUUGUUGUUGUCUCAUGAGGACUAUGUGAUGCGUGAUGAGGAAGAAGCAAAAGGAGCAAUGGGAUGGUGACAUGCACAUCGCCCUUGGGUAUAAGGCGGAGGUGCUUACUAUAAAGAUUGAGAAAGAGUGAGGGGGAUGAAGAGAGAGAGAGAGAGAGAGAGGAGAGAUCGAGGUAGGGAGGAAGGGGGAGAGAGAUCUUGCAUGUACACGUCGAUAGGAUAACUAUUUUUUGUUUUGAGCAAUGGGAAUAGCAGGAGAGGCUCCUACAGUUUAUAUAUGAAACCCAAAAAUGGCGGAUAUUUACAGAUGAGUGGGAUUACAUAGCAAUUGUGGCUAAAGCGUGAAAUAGAAAUUACAAGGGUAGGUUUGUUACAAAAUUGUCGAUGAAGGUGGCCACCUCAGGGGAAUUUCAGAAUGAGUAAGUCACUUUUGAUAGGAUAACUGUGUUCUGAAAUACUAAUGAGAUUUGAUGGUAAGUCACCAUAAGUUUGUUUCCAAUUUGUCAGGCACCAUAACUUUCAUGUCCAAUAUGUUGCAGAAAUAUUCUUUGAUAAAUAUGUUUUUAUCUCUUGAUAUUUUAGUAUGAUUGUAAAAAAAAUUAUUCAUGUAUCAUUCCAAGAAGCAUUUUUAUUUGGGGGAAGAAUGAAGGGAA